CGGCGCGCGCCUCAUAGGCUUCGCUUACGGCGCUCAACAAGAACACCAAGCGGCACCCCUCCUGGACAUUUAUGGAACGCCACUGCGCGCGGUCGCCGCGAUGGAGUCUCCCGAACCGGCUUCUUGCGUGAAAGAAAGAAGCGGAUUCAAAGGAAGAAUUGGAAGACCAGUGGGAGGCUCUGCUGGUGACCCAAGACCCUGACAACCAGCUACGGUUGGUGAACAGGGCUCGGGCGGCGGCAGCUAGCUUUGGCUACCUGGACUGAGGAGGCCACCCACCUUUGGGCUCAAG